rnacentral:RNase_P_RNA from 1 species
GAAGCUGGCUAGACAGUCGCCGCUCACGUAAGUGAGGGGAGGAAAGUCCGGGCUGCAAAGAGCGGGAUGACGGUUAACGGCCGUCCGCCAUAAGUCGCUAGACUGAAAAGUCGAAUGAAAAAAGCGAGGAAUAGGGCCACAGAGACGAGCGUAUUAAGUUACGGUGAAACGCGGUAACCUCCAUUCGCAGCAAGACCAAAUAGGCUGGCAUUGGCGUGGCUCGCGUCGCCAGCGGGUAGGUUGCUUGAGCGCAUGAGUAAUUGUGCGCCUAGAUGAAUGACUGUUGCGUGCAGCAAUGUACGACAGAACCCGGCUUAUCGGCCAGCUUCAAUU